UUGUGAGAUUUCAAUGAAAGGGAGAAAAAUCAUUACAGACAAUAUUCAUAAUCCAAUUUGGUAUCCUACUAAUCCAACAAUAGGAUGAGCCUGAUAAGGGACCAAACUUUGCAAUCUCAUAGGCUACAGAAUUGGCCAAUCUUGGCACAUGGAAUAUUCAUAUCAGAAGAGAGAGAGCAAAUACUUGCAAUAAUAGGACCACUAAGACCCAUCACCUCCUUCUUCGUGACACUUUUUUAUCACUAAUGCAGCACCGGAUUUAGCAGUAUGAAUCUUCCAUCCUAGCUCUGCUGCGAAACGAAGAAAGGGCUGCGUAGAAAAUGCCUUUCCAUUCAGGCCUCACCACAUUUUUGUCCAAAAUCUCCCCGAUUGCCUUUUACUCCCUCGACCAUUUCAUUCGUAUCGAGCUCCACCGGAUCUCCUCAGGCGGCCGCUCCUCUCAUUCGCGCUUCAUUUUCUUCCUUCCUCCAAAUCUCGACGUCUCUUUUUCCUUUUAAUCUCCUCCUCUGAUUCGGAUUUCCAACCGAAAGGAAGAGGUUCGCGAGGUUCCGAGGCUGAAAUUGGCCAAGGAAGAAGAGCCACAAAACGAUGAUGUCGAAGAAGAAGAGCUUCUCAGCGAUAGCGAGCUUCCAUUGAAGUCCGGCUUCUUGUUCUAUCCUAUGACUCCCACUUCCUUUGUCGUCUCCGAUGCCCUAGACCCCGAUUUCCCCAUUAUCUACGUCAACAAAGUCUUCGAGAUCUUCACCGGCUACCGCGCCGACGAGGUCCUCAGCCGAAACUGGAUGUGGGCGGCAAGGAUUGCUCAAUGAUGUCUUCGUUCUUCUUGGACGCCAAACAAACAACAUGGAAAGAAGGAACUCCCCCUCUCCCUAGAUCCUGGCACAGUUCUUGCACAAUUGAGGAUUCAAAAUUGGUUGUUUCAGGUGGAUGCACUAACGCUGGAGUACUUCUCAGUGAUACAUACUUGUUGGAUCUCACAACAGACGAGCCAACAUAAAGAGAAAUUCCAACGUCAUAGGCUCUUCCCUCUAGGUUGGGGCAUUCACUUUUUGUUUUUGGCCGCACAAAGAUUCUCAUGUUUGGCGGGCUCGCAAAAAGUGGCCACUUGCGGCUGCGAUCAGGAGAGGCUUACACCAUUGAUUUAGAAGAUGAAGAACCCCACUGGAGGCCUCCUCCUAGACUUGAUCACGUUGCUGUCAGCAUGCCUUGUGGAAGGAUCAUCAUCUUUGGCGGAUCUAUGUAUGAUUGUGCAACGGUAGGGGUUCCGAGGCUACAUUUAAGAGGGGUUUGUUUAGUUUCAUGGUUACAUAAAAGAUAUUGUAAUGUAUGUGCUAUGCAUUUCUCUUUUGAUAUCCUAAUUAAUUAGGAUUAUAUUUUACUUUGUUAAAUUGUAUUAACUACGAACUUGCUUGACUUGCCAGAUGAUGGAUGUUAUA